rnacentral:lncRNA from 1 species
UUGUAUCUGAGCUUGAGUUGACUCGAGAUGAAGAAGUUCGAGUCGACUCCUUCUCGAGUCGACUUGAAUAGAAAUCUUGAGUCGACUCCAGGUCGGGACCAUAUCUUUUUCACUUUCCCUUCUUUUCUAUUUAUCCUAGAGCAGUGCGAUAGAUCUCUUUUGACUCUUAUGGAGCCCUCCACCUAUCCCAUUUUGUUAAUUCAAAUAUGAUUUCAUGCGCAAUGGGACC